GACGAACGCUGGCGGCGUGCCUAAUACAUGCAAGUCGAGCGGAAUGAUGAAGAAGCUUGCUUCUUCUGAUUUUAGCGGCGGACGGGUGAGUAACACGUGGGCAACCUACCUUGUAGAUUGGGAUAACUCCGGGAAAACCGGGGCGUAAUACCGAAUAAUCCAUUUUGCUUCAUGGCGAGAUGUUGAAAGACGGUUUCGGCUGUCACUACAAGAUGGGCCCGCGGCGCAUUAGCUAGUUGGUAGGGUAAUGGCCUACCAAGGCGACGAUGCGUAGCCGACCUGAGAGGGUGAUCGGCCACACUGGGACUGAGACACGGCCCAGACUCCUACGGGAGGCAGCAGUAGGGAAUCUUCCACAAUGGACGAAAGUCUGAUGGAGCAACGCCGCGUGAGUGAAGAAGGUUUUCGGAUCGUAAAACUCUGUUGUAAGGGAAGAACACGUACGAGAGUAACUGCUCGUACCUUGACGGUACCUUAUUAGAAAGCCACGGCUAACUACGUG
rnacentral:rRNA from 1 species